AGCUUGUUUGGGCCCUACUGACUCAGGUUUAGAGAAACAAGCUUGUUUGGGCCUACUGACUCAGGUUCAGAGAAACAAGCUUGUUUGGGCCUACUGACUCAGGUUUGAGCCCUACUGACUCAGGUUUGAGCCCUACUGACUCAGGUUCAGAGAAACAAGCUUGUUUGGGCCUACUGACUCAGGUUUGAGCCCUACUGACUCAGGUUCAGAGAAAAAAGCUUGUUUGGGCCCUACUGCCUGAGCUUCAGAGAAACAUCCCUCCUCUAUAAUUCUAUAGCCUACAAGAUACCAGAUAUUGUAAGGUUAAUAGCACAAUAAUACCAAAGUUGUCUUUGAAGUCUAAACAUGGAGCCCAAUAUAACCAGUAGGAAUUAUCACUCACUUUGACAACUUGUGGUCACACAGUAGAUAGCAUCUGUCACUUCCCAAUAGAAACUUCUUCUCUUGAACAACAUAAUUUUCUAUAUAAUUCUUACUCGUGCUUUAUGAAUUGUCCAUGUCGUAGUAUUUUACUUGUCCCAAGUUAGCUCACAGAUUUGACCGUUUUCUAAAGGAAAGUUUCACCCAUUUGGAAUGUUGUCGUUUUUGUGCAUCUCUGAGCGUUGUUCUAUCUUUCCCAGGUGGUCAUUUCAUGUUUCUCUUUUGUAAUUGCAGCCUGGUCUCAGUGGCCAGACGUAACAUACAGUAAAUAGUACACUAGGCCCAAAACCAAAGGAGAGUGGUUAGUUGUAGUGGAUAGUCGGGGCGUAUAACGCGAAUGUCUAACAACCCAACUGUAACAACCCUAACCCUAACAACCCAACUGUUGCUUGUUCAAAUCUCAUCAUGGACAAUUUGAGCU